UGGACCCUGGGCUUGUGGCUGUACUGGUUGCCUCUGGGGCCUGUUCUGUGUGUCAGAUGGCUGGAGUUCCUGAGGUGAGGCACUGGAGGAGUGACGGGGUGAGGCCAGCACCCCCGUCAUCUCCUGCUCUGAAGAAAAGGACUGCAGGGAAGAGGACAGCCUGCAAUGGCCCUGUUCUCCGACACCUUCCUCUACUGGGAGGAGCCCAGGUGACCCAGGACGGACAGGAGUAAUUUGGCCAUGGAGAAGACUGGCAGGAGCCACCUGAGUCCUGUGACCAGAGCAAAUAUAAGCAUCAGAGUGCCAGAUGUCCUGAAUACUCACAUGGCUUUCAAUGAGGGGAACACGGCAACAGGUCACUGCUGGAGAAACCCCGCGCGCCCUGUUACCUAGUUCUCGGCGAAACCCAUGACUGACCGCGUAAGUUGUCACCAGAUGUUCUCUUUUGUCAGUCUUACAAAAACGUGUGGUUGGGACAAGGAGGAACAUCUGGCCUGGGCUCGUCAAGCAGUGAGAGGGCGAACCUGCGCUGGCAGUGUUGACCGGCCAGCGCUGAGAAG